GAAGAUAUAAAACGAGCGAAGACGCAGAUUGUCAAGAUAGCACUCCAUUUUGUAUCUGUCUUUUCAUUUUUUUCUUCUAUUUUU
rnacentral:ribozyme from 1 species